GACAGAGGGGGCAAGCGUUGCUCGGAAUCACUGGGCGUAAAGGGCGCGUAGGCGGGCUGGCAAGUCGGUCGUGAAAUCCUUCGGCUCAACCGAAGAACGUCGGCCGAUACUGCCGUUCUUGAGGGAUGCAGAGGAGAUUGGAAUUCCCGGUGUAGCGGUGAAAUGUGUAGAGAUCGGGAGGAACACCGGUGGCGAAGGCGGGUCUCUGGGACGUUACUGACGCUGAGACGCGAAAGCGUGGGGAGCAAACAGG
rnacentral:rRNA from 1 species